rnacentral:lncRNA from 1 species
CCCAAAAAAUUCCCCAAAAAAAUGCCCAAAAUUUCCCCAAAAAUGCCCAAAAAUUCCCCAAAAAUUCCCAAUAAUUCACCCAAAAUUCCCCCCAAAAAUGCCCAAAAUUUCCCCAAAAUUUCCCCAAAAUUCCCCCAAAAAUCUUCCAAAAUUCCCCAAAAUUCCCCCAAAAUUCCCCCCAAAAUUCCCCCACCGGCUCUCCUGGAGCAGCUCCUCCUUCUCCUCCUGCAGCCGGAGAAAACUGGGGAAAAAAGAGGGAAAAAUGGGCAAAAAUGGGCAAAAAAAUGAUGGGAAACCCCCCCAAAAAAUUCCCCAAAUUCUCACCUUUCCCGCUGUUCCCGCAGCUCCUCGGUCAGCUGGGAAAUUUGGGGUGGGGGGCACAAAAUUGGGGAGGGGGGAAAAGUUUGGACCCCCCCCAAAUCUCAAAAGUUUUCCCCUCUCCAGGGUUGAAAUCUUCCCCAAAUUCCCCCUUGGAGACCCCAAAAUCCCCCCCAGGAGGUCCCAAAUUCUUCUGGGAUGCAAAUUCUGGGAAGUUUUGUGUUCAGGAGGUUCCAAAAAAAUUCAAGUUCCACCCAGGUUCCACCCAAAAAACCUCAAAUCCCCAAAAAAACCCAAAUUCCUCUUCAGAGCACCCCAAAAAACUGAAAUCCCACCCAAAUCUUCCCAAAAAAACCAAAAUUCCUCCUCAGAGCUCCCCAAAAAAACCCAAAUUCCUCUUCAGAGCUCCCCAAAAACCUCAAAUUCCACCCAAAUCCCACCCAAAUCCUCCCAAAAAACCCAAAAUUCCCCCCAAAAACCCUAAUUUCCACCCAAAUCCCACCCAAAAAAACCCAAAUCUCCCCAAAAAACCCCAAAUCCUCCCAAAAAACCCCAAAUCCUCCCAAAAAAACCCCAAAAAACCCAAAAUUCCCCCCAAAAACCCUAAAUCCCACCCAAAUCCCACCCAAAAAACCUCAAAUCCCCCAAAAAACCCCAAAUUCCUCUUCAGAGCCCCCCAAAAAAACUCAAAUUCCACCCAAAUCCUCACAAAAAACCCAAAAUCCCCCCAAAAAAAC